rnacentral:rRNA from 1 species
GACGUAGGGCGCGAGCGUUGUCCGGAUUGAUUGGGCGUAAAGAGCUCGUAGGCGGCUCGUUGCGUCAGCUGUGAAAACCCGCAGCUCAACUGUGGGCCUGCAGCUGAUACGGUCGGGCUGGAGUUCGGUAUGGGAGACUGGAAUUCCUGGUGUAGCGGUGAAAUGCGCAGAUAUCAGGAGGAACACCGGUGGCGAAGGCGGGUCUCUGGGCCGAUACUGACGCUGAGGAGCGAAAGCGUGGGGAGCGAACAGG